rnacentral:rRNA from 1 species
UACGUAGGGCGCAAGCGUUGUCCGGAAUUAUUGGGCGUAAAGAGCUCGUAGGCGGUCUGUCGCGUCGGAUGUGAAAAUCCAGGGCUCAACCCUGGACCUGCAUUCGAUACGGGCAGACUAGAGUUCGGUAGGGGAGACUGGAAUUCCUGGUGUAGCGGUGGAAUGCGCAGAUAUCAGGAGGAACACCGGUGGCGAAGGCGGGUCUCUGGGCAGUAACUGACGCUGAGGAGCGAAAGCGUGGGGAGCGAACAGG